AAUUCAUUAAAGGGAAACAAUGGCUUAUAACUUCAUAUAGUACUUGUCAUUCAUGCAAAUAAGAUUUGAAUUAUUACUACUUUGAACAGCUGCUACCCUGACUUUUAGAAUUAAUGUUUAUCGUGUCAAAUCUCACCUUCAAUGGGAUUACCAUUUACAUAAAUUUAAUGAUCUGUAAAAAAAAUAUAAUAGAAAAGGAUGAUUUGAUAUAGGAAAACAUUUUAUCUUUUUGAAAAUUGAUUAUAAAUUUUUUGCACUUAAAGCUGUUAGCUAUGACCUACCUGCUGCAGCUUUAACAGCAAGAUACAACAAUAAUGUUACUAAUUAUCUGUAAGAACAAGGUUUCAUAUAGAUAAGUUUUUCUUAAUUUCGUGUGUAAGAAUGAUAUUUGAUGACAAAUUUAUUGCACUAAGCUUUAAAUAAUGACCUAACUGCUACAGCAUUAACAGCAAGGUAUGAUGAUAAUGUCAUCAUUUGUAAGAACAUUAGGUUUCACAUGGAAGAAUUUCAUGUAUAAGUAUAAUACAGUUAUACAAUAUAACAUGUAUACAGUGGCG
rnacentral:lncRNA from 1 species